rnacentral:lncRNA from 1 species
AUCUUGUGAUCCAAUCCAACCAAAUAUCAUUCCACUGACCGGCUUCCUGCCUAUAAAUAGUGUUGCCUCCCCAGCCGUAUGGGCACUAGAAACCCCUUAAGCUGCUAGUCUCGUCUUCUCUGCUCUUCCUACCUUCCUCUAGCUAUAGCAACACCUUGCCCACAUUCCAUGUCUCCAACGGGUGCUUCCGCUCUCAAGGUUGCGGCUAUCGCCGUCUGCCUCGGGCUGGUUCUAUCGUCCAUGAGGCAGCCAGUGUUCGCGCAAACCCAGUCCCAGCAGCAAGCUUGCACCACAACUUGCGCCAGCGCGUGCAAUAUUGUGGCGAAGGCAGCCUGCCCCGGCUUCUGCGCAGGCAACCCAACUCCCACUAAUCCGCUAGCUUGCAACGCCUGCAACACGACGGCCAAUGCAGAUUGCAACAAUCAGUGCGCCCCAGCCUGCUUCCUCAACCCAGAUCCCAACGCUUAAUGUUCAUCAUCCAUGUUCGUGCUGUUGCUUAAGAGCUAAUGUUUACUGAAUAAUUAAGCAUGCCGACUGGGCUGCAUGUAUGUUGUGUUGCUUUCUAUUCUAUUUCCCUUGCAAAUGAUGUAAAGCCGUCGGCCUACUGGCUGGCUGGACUCAUGUAGAAAAUCGCUCCAUGUGAUUGGUGUUCCUUGGGCUUUGUUGAAUUGAAAUCAUGUUGUUAUGUGUUUCAGUAUUAACUUAUCAGCAUCCAUCUCUGUCAAUCUCGAUCACCAUGUUGUGAAAAAGAAGAUUUCCCUCUGCAAAUCUGUGCACACCACAUAAUAUAUAUAUAUAUAUAUAUAUAUAUAUAUAUUGUUCAUCUUGUUCUAUUAUUUCAUCUUGUUCAGGUCAAUCCAGUAAACUGUACAGUUUGUUACUAUGUUCAAUCGUGUUAUGUGACUAUCAGAAUUAGAAAACAAGCUUCCGAUCAUAUGGAGACAAUUAAAUAUUCCAAGCGAUACAAGCUGCCACUGAUCCAACCCAGAAAUACCACAUUAGGCUUGGUCAUAUAUAUGGCGAUCGAGGUAGAUGAAAAAACGACCCAAGAUUCGAUCAGUCAUAUAGAUGCAAGCUUGCUACUGCAAGCAUUAAUACGAAACAGACUGAAAACUUAUUUAACGGACACUUGAUCUUGUUUUCUUUUCUUUUCCUUUUUCCCUAUACUAUCCUUUAUUCUGUUCUUUAUUCUUCUUCUAAUACCUCUCUAAGUAUUUUUGUCAUGUAUGUAAUCAAUAUCUUUUAAUAAGUAGCAUUCAUCAUUGUUCUUUUAAACGAGUACAUGAUGUUUGUUUUUUCAAUCCUUUUUUAAUACUCUAUUUCAUUUGGUUUUUCCCACGUUACCUAUCCAAUAUUUCUACUUUUUUCUUUUAUUUGGUAUUUCAUAAUUUCUUGACUUAUCCGCUUAUUUCACUUAUUUAUUUAUCUAUUUAUUUACUUAAUUUUAUUCUUGCCUUACUUUAUAUAUUGAAUGUAUCCCUUUAUUUUUUUAAUGUAUUGUAAUAUUUAAGUUGUUCUAUGUUUAAAAUUUUUCCAGCUGCACAAUUCUACAAUUUUGUUCAAAGUGUAUAAUUUUUUAUUCCAUAAUUUCAUCUAAUUUAAUUAAUUCCUUCUCUACAAAUCUUUGUUUCUUGAGUUCACUAUUUUGUUCCAGGUGUAUAAAUGUAUGUUCUGUGUAUAAAUGUACAUUCUGUAAGUCCAUAUAAUUUGUUUCAAUAUACAAAUCUAUGUUUUAUGAGUUCACAUAUCUGUGUAUAAAUGUACAUUUUGUGAGUCCGUAUAAUUUGUUUCGAUAUACAAAUCUAUGUUUUAUGAGUUCACGUAAAUUGUUCCAUAUGUAUAAAUCUUUAUUCUUCAUAUAAUUCGUUCUUGGAGUACAUACCCUAGUUUUGUGAUAUAUGAAAGAAAAUGGAAAGUUACCGAUCAUCACAGUAUACAAACCGAGAGUACGUCUGAAGCUAAGUCCGCAUGAUCGGUAGAAAUCCUUGAAUGAGGUGUGAUCCCCGAUUCUGUAAAUUUUAGCUUACGGCAUUCAUGAGAAGGUCAGAAGUGCUGCAGUCCUAGUUUGGACUUCUGGAUGCGCACUUCGUUGCAUUAUACGACUACUUCAUCGACGUCGAUCGGAUCGACCACUCACGCUUCAUUAAGACUUCCGCUGCGAUGCGAGACGAGCAAAGGUAUAAUCUAUGAUCAUCUUCUCGCAAGUGAUCUUGUUUACGCAGUUAUAUUUUUGUGUGCUAGCGAGUAGCAUACUAAGUUUUCUAACAGAUACUACCUCAUGAAAGCCGUCCAUUUGAGGCCAAAAGGAUUCGAAAUGGAACCUUCCUUUCCCCAGCAAUAAGUCAUUCAGCCCCAAAAUGAGUACUCCAAUUGGCAUCGGUAGGGCCUAUUCCAAUUCAGAAGUCAAGCAGUCACUACCUGCUCCAUUCUGUUCUCUCGGAUUAGUUACUGCAAUGCAAAAGGAUUCAGCAAAGCGAGACUUGACUUUUUCUUUACUAAUGCACCUUCUAAUUUUGCCAGAAAAAAUUAACGACAGAAGCAAUGGGGAUGUGGCUGAUGACCAAUACCAUUGUUACAAGGUAGGGAUUUUGUUACUCUAGUUCGCUGUGAUACCUUUGAAGAAAUUUUGAGCUAGCACUGCCGUAAGUUAUACAUGUGCUUGCGGUUCUUCUAAAUAUCCAGCGAAAUUAAUGAAUAAAUUUGUGGUCAUUAUUACUGAAUCAAAGGGACUGGCCAAAAACUGCAGGAAGAUGUGAACAUCAUGAAGGAUAUUGGAAUGGAUGCGUACAGGUUCUCCAUCUCAUGGACAAGUAUUCUUCCAAGUACUUGAAAUAUCUUCAGAAUGGAUACAAUUGCAACGUCCUCAAAGCCGUGUUCUCUUUUCUGUAUUGUCAAGUAGAAAAUUUUCAUUCUUGAUUCAUGGUUAACAAUAUGAAUGGUCAUUCUACCAAAAUUCGCAGAAUUUUCUUAUUAUAAGCCAACAUACUCCCUCUCUAUUUUUAAAUAUUUGAUGUUAAAGACAUGCUAGAUAGUUCAUAACAUCAUAUCUUUAAGUCUGAUUGGAUGACAGAUGCAAGUUUGAGUGGUGGAGUUAACAGGGAAGGAGUCAAUUAUUACAACAAUUUGAUUAAUGAGCUCUUGUCCAAAGGUAGGUAUUUCAAAUCUUCAGUAUAAUAUAUAUUGAUUCUUUUGCUUUGCAAUAGUUUCAAAGUUGAAUGGAGCACUACAUGUUCAUUGUUAUUCAAGGGGCAUUAUUAUCCACUAGAGAAAUAUUUAUUUGUUUGCAGGUUUGCAGCCAUUUGUGACUAUUUCCACUGGGACUCAUCUCAGGCAUUAGAAGACAAAUACAAAGGGUUUCUUAGUCCUAAUAUAGUGUAAGUCAACUACAUUCAGUUUAGUCCUAAUUUUUUCCUCAAAACUGACGUUAUAAUAACGUGCAUUACUAUACUACUCUGUGAACUAAACGGACUAACAAACAGUAGUUGAGUAUGACAUGAUAAUUUUUUCACAAAUUUUGCAAAAUUUGAGCUGACUGCAGACUUUUCUAUCAUAAACAAACCGUGUCCAGCAUGGAUCCAUGAUUCUGCUUGACUGGACAGGUAUGAGUAGGGGGUUGGUUAUUUUGCUUGUUCGGAUGCUGAUGGGUGCAUAUGCAUCCAUGAUUCUGGAGCCACGCCAAUGGCUAGUUUAUAUAAUUUUAGAGUUGUCCUGAUCUUUAGAUGUGCCAACUUGCAGGCACCAUUCUGAGUUGACAUAUGCAGGGAGGCUAAGCUAGCUUCAGUGGUAAACAAUGUAUGAUGCACUGGCUCAUGAACAGAUUUAUGGGUGAUUUAUUUUCUGAAAAAAAUCUAUAAAUCUGUGCAUGAAGCCAAGCCAAAGUUCAGUGUCAAAUUUAUAUACAUCUAUUUGUUUUUUCCUUCCAUGAUCUUUAAAGAUACUACCAACUUAGAUAUAAACUAUAACCCAGCCAUGAUUGAUGAAGGAAAUCUCUAACCAAAAAAAAGUUUAUAAAACAUCAAACUCAAUAACACAUAGCUCUACGCCGUAAAAGAGCUAUCCUACAGCACCCAAAAAUACUGAAUAAAACACUUAGAUUUACUCAUCAGAUGUCCCAAUUUAGUAAAUCAUGUUUUAGUAAACCUCUUUGUAAAACCAGGUUUUACACGAUCCGACUUUCAUAGUCAAUUUCUAGGAAACGUUAUUAUUAAAAAUCUCAGUUUCCAACUCGACAACUUAAAAUGCUGAAGAAUUGUUAUGCAUGGAAUCAAACUUUAUUAUUCCUUUUUUUAACUUGCACAGCUAGCUGACCUACUUGAACCACUUUCACAUCAGUAGUACAAGUACAAUGGAUGGAAAGUGGUACGAGUUCCCAACUCUUUUGAAAUUUCAGAAACAGGUCAAGAGAAAAAGAACGAGAAAUAGGGCGAACAAGUGUGCAAAAUUGUAGGGUAAAUAUUAAAUUAAGACAAUUUCUAUUUUGACUCUGAUGGAGUUGACGAUCUGGGGCAGUAAAUAAAAUAGGUCUAGUACUGGUACGACGCCUUAUUUAUUUGGACCAAACGUCUCAGUUUCUUUCUUUUUUGCAUGCAUCUCUCUCUCUAUAUAUAUUCUGUACAUGUUACAUGAAGAGAUAAUCUUGUGAUCCAAUCCAACCAAAUAUCAUUCCACUGACCGGCUUCCUGCCUAUAAAUAGUGUUGCCUCCCCAGCCGUAUGGGCACUAGAAACCCCUUAAGCUGCUAGUCUCGUCUUCUCUGCUCUUCCUACCUUCCUCUAGCUAUAGCAACACCUUGCCCACAUUCCAUGUCUCCAACGGGUGCUUCCGCUCUCAAGGUUGCGGCUAUCGCCGUCUGCCUCGGGCUGGUUCUAUCGUCCAUGAGGCAGCCAGUGUUCGCGCAAACCCAGUCCCAGCAGCAAGCUUGCACCACAACUUGCGCCAGCGCGUGCAAUAUUGUGGCGAAGGCAGCCUGCCCCGGCUUCUGCGCAGGCAACCCAACUCCCACUAAUCCGCUAGCUUGCAACGCCUGCAACACGACGGCCAAUGCAGAUUGCAACAAUCAGUGCGCCCCAGCCUGCUUCCUCAACCCAGAUCCCAACGCUUAAUGUUCAUCAUCCAUGUUCGUGCUGUUGCUUAAGAGCUAAUGUUUACUGAAUAAUUAAGCAUGCCGACUGGGCUGCAUGUAUGUUGUGUUGCUUUCUAUUCUAUUUCCCUUGCAAAUGAUGUAAAGCCGUCGGCCUACUGGCUGGCUGGACUCAUGUAGAAAAUCGCUCCAUGUGAUUGGUGUUCCUUGGGCUUUGUUGAAUUGAAAUCAUGUUGUUAUGUGUUUCAGUAUUAACUUAUCAGCAUCCAUCUCUGUCAAUCUCGAUCACCAUGUUGUGAAAAAGAAGAUUU